rnacentral:lncRNA from 1 species
GAAAAUGAUAAUAUUCUGUAACACUGUCACGAUCCGUUUCCGUGGGUCGGACCGGCACUAGGGCCCAGGUAAGCUUAAGGCCCCUGAGGCCCGUAGUAAGCCUGAAACACUAGAAUCUAUUAUCUCGGUAUAAAUUUCAACAUUCAGCCCAUAUGAUUAUGGAAAAUAAACCUCAACAUUUUAUUAGUUCUCGGCCCAAGUUUAUCUUCUACAGCAUUCUAUAGUUCGGGCCCAGUUUACAAUACAUCACAUUCUAAUAUGGCUUACAGAAUUAUUUUGUCUAUGUUAAUUCACGACUAAAUAUAUGUAAAUCCUACAACUGCGGAGUCACUAACUCUUUGGUAUACAUAGCUUUUUAUACACAUAAUUACAUAGUGAAAUAAUUAUGGAACUAGGAAAAUUUCUCUAUUGCCCUGCGCCGAAAAAACAUAGCCUAAAUCGGAUUAAAGAAAAACUUACUUCCUAAAAAAUCAAACAAGACAUGUGAGUUUUCUAAGGAGUAAUAAUUAUUGCACAACACACGCAGUCACACAAAUNNN